GAACGCUGGCGGCAUGCCUAACACAUGCAAGUCGAACGUGAAGCAUCCUUCGGGAUGUGGAAAGUGGCGCACGGGUGAGUAACGCGUGGGAACCUGCCUAGAAGUUCAGAAUAACCAUUGGAAACGAUGGCUAAUACUGGAUACGCCCUUCGGGGGAAAGAUUUAUCGCUUCUAGAUGGGCCCGCGUCCGAUUAGAUAGUUGGUGGGGUAAUGGCCUACCAAGGCGACGAUCCAUAGCUGGUCUGAGAGGAUGAUC
rnacentral:rRNA from 1 species